rnacentral:rRNA from 1 species
UACGGGGGGGGCAAGCGUUGUUCGGAAUUACUGGGCGUAAAGGGCUCGUAGGCGGCCAACUAAGUCGGAUGUGAAAUCCCCAGGCUUAACCUGGGAACUGCAUCCGAUACUGGAUGGCUUGAAUCCGGGAGAGGGAUGCGGAAUUCCAGGUGUAGCGGUGAAAUGCGCAGAUAUCAGGAGGAACACCGGUGGCGAAGGCGGCAUCCUGGACCGGCAUUGACGCUGAGGCGCGAAAGCCAGGGGAGCAAACGGG